rnacentral:rRNA from 1 species
GUACACGCUGUGACUAGCAUAUCAAUAAGCGGAGGAAAAGAAACUAACAAGGAUUCCCUCAGUAACGGCGAGUGAAGCGGGAAGAGCUCAAAUUUGAAAUCUUGAAAGGUCACCUUUCACGAAUUGUAGUUUAAAGAAGUGUUUUCUGUUACGAUCGUAAUAUAAGUUCUUUGGAAUAGGACAUCACAGAGGGUGAGAAUCCCGUCUAUGAUUGCGAUUUGUAGCUUUGUGAUACACUUUCAAAGAGUCGGAUUGUUUGGGAAUGCAGUCCAAAAUGGGUGGUAAAUUUCAUCUAAAGCUAAAUAUUGGCGAGAGACCGAUAGCGAACAAGUACCGUGAGGGAAAGAUGAAAAGAACUUUGAAAAGAGAGUUAAAUAGUACGUGAAAUUGUCAAAAGGGAAGCGUUUAACACCAGUGUUGUUUUCUGAAAAUCAACCUCUGUUAGCUUUAUGCAUGUUUGUUUAGACCUAAUCAGCUAUCUUGCAUGUUCUAUUGUUUGCAGUGGUGCACUUUUCAGUUUACAGGUCAACAUCAGUUUUUUUUACCGUAAAAAAGUUAAAGAAAGGUAGCUCAUGGCUCCGGUCGUGAGUGUUAUAGUCUUUUUCCUAUGCGGUAGGAGAGACUGAGGUCUGCAGUGUAGGCUAUUUGGCUAGAUACUCAGGUGCUAUGUGAUACCAUUUCAUAAACAACUUGUUGAUUAUGUUUUGUCUAUUGCAUACUCGCUUGUACUAUCAUACCUACGCUUAGGAUGUUGAGUAGCGACAUACGCAC